rnacentral:rRNA from 1 species
CCUACGGGUGGCAGCAGUGGGGAAUAUUGCACAAUGGGGGGAACCCUGAUGCAGCGACGCCGCGUGAAGGAAGAAGUAUUUCGGUAUGUAAACCUCUAUCAGCAGGGAAGAAAAUGACGGUACCUGACUAAGAAGCCCCGGCUAACUACGUGCCAGCAGCCGCGGUAAUACGUAGGGGGCCAGCGUUAUCCGGAUUUACUGGGUGGAAAGGGAGCGUAGGUGGCAGUGCAAGUCAGAAGUGAAAGGCCAAGGCUCAACCACGGGACUGCUUUUGAAACUGUACAUCUAGAGUGCAGGAGAGGUAAGUGGAAUUGCUAGUGUAGCGGUGAAAUGCGUAGAUAUUAGGAGGAACACCAGUGGCGAAGGCGGCUUACUGGACUGUAAAUGACGCUGAGGCUCGAAAGCGUGGGGAGCAAACAGGAUUAGAUACCCCUGUAGUC